CCCGGGUUUUGGCACCAAC
rnacentral:piRNA from 1 species